rnacentral:snoRNA from 1 species
CCCCUCUCAGGGUCACGCCUGGAGAAUUUCCAGUACUCUACCAGUCUUGACUACGGGAGGGGGAGUAAAGCAGAGGCCUACCCAUUCCAUUCAUUGCUUGGGCAGUGGCUACUAAGUGGAAGGCAAUCUGCUACAAUA